UCGGUUUAAUAACGUUUGCUUUUUUGUAGAUGAAUAAGUCAUUGAUUAUUAUCUUGUUUGUCAUCGGACUUCUCGUCCUCACGGAAACAGCGAAUGCGCUUUGGGAAGGUCGCCGACGACGUCGCCAUAACGGGAAAUGGGAUGAAGCUCAGGCGGACUUCGACGUUUCAGUGGAAGAUGUCAUGCGGAAUAUACAAGCUCAAGAAGAGAAAACAGAUUGUUGUUAAAGAAGCAGUAGCGCGACAACAAUAAAUUAAAAGAACUACCGAAAA